rnacentral:lncRNA from 1 species
UUAAAAACAUAUUUUUUUAUUAAACAUAUGAGCUUUUUACAUAGUAAUAUAAACGUUUUUACUAAAACAACUAUAUUUUAUGGAACAAAAAAAUUAAUGAGAAGAGUGGUGUUAUAUCAAAAAUUUUGCAAAUCUGUUGAAUCUCUGGUUUAACAGGAGACAGAUGAAUCCAUAGCUGCUUCUCCAGUGAAUCACAAUUGGUUCAUUGUGACAGUCCAUGUCAUGUAGCUUCUGGGAAACUCCCCACUCCACCCCAGAGAGAAUGAGAGUGAAGAGGACAAGUAAUAUCUUAAUCAUCUUAGUAUCUGGAAGACAACAGUUUUGGCCUUGAAGACCCCCACCCACCACUGGGUCUAGGGACCUCCCAGGAGUCCUCAUGCCACAUUUUGAGAAUCACAGCUCUGCACAAUCUUCAGGUAGAAACAUUCAAGAUCCAGAAAGUCUCAAGGCUUUAAAUGCCUGAGUUCAAGCCCCAUCCCAUCACUUCCCAGCUGUGUGACCUUGGGCAAGUCAUCUAACUUUCUGACCAUGUCAGUCUCUUCAUCUCUAAAACAGGAUCAAUGACACCUACAUCUAGGCCGUGGUGAAAUGAGAAGUAACGGAGUCCCAGCAGUAAUGCGGCACUUGGCUGUCCCCUGGCUUCGACCCAGGUAUGUCUUUAUCAGCAGCAUGAAAACGGACUAAUAUAAGGGGCAACUCUGGGACCUGGGAAGAAACCAGAAGGUAAGUGGCUUGGAGCAAAGUGGGUCUUCAUGGCUCACUGGAAAACCCUCCCUAGGCUUGGCAUUUCCUUUCUCGUGGCAUUGUCAAAGGGAACAUUCUGUUGACAUCAGAGGAUGAAUUCUGCUUCAAGGAGUGAGAAAGUACAGAGGGUUUAGUCAUCACCCCUCUCAGACGCUUGCCCGUGCUGUGAACCACUGUCGGAGGAAGGAGGAAAAUCUGUGGGUUCAGCCCACAGGGAGCUCAGCUGGUACCCACAGCAGUCUGUAGAGCUCUUCUCAGCUCGUUAUCA